AGAGUUUGAUCAUGGCUCAGGAUGAACGCUAGCUACAGGCUUAACACAUGCAAGUCGAGGGGAAACGAUAUUGGAAGCUUGAAAAAAAAAACUUCCGAUAGGCGUCGACCGGCGCACGGGUGAGUAACGCGUAUCCAACCUGCCCACCACUUGGGGAUAACCUUGCGAAAGUAAGACUAAUACCCAAUGAUAUCUCUAGAAGACAUCUGAAAGAGAUUAAAGAUUUAUCGGUGAUGGAUGGGGAUGCGUCUGAUUAGCUUGUUGGCGGGGUAACGGCCCACCAAGGCGACGAUCAGUAGGGGUUCUGAGAGGAAGGUCCCCCACAUUGGAACUGAGACACGGUCCAAACUCCUACGGGAGGCAGCA
rnacentral:rRNA from 1 species